rnacentral:rRNA from 1 species
AGCGAACGCUGGCGGCAGGCCUAACACAUGCAAGUCGAACGAACUCUUCGGAGUUAGUGGCGGACGGGUGAGUAACACGUGGGAACGUGCCUUUAGGUUCGGAAUAACUCAGGGAAACUUGUGCUAAUACCGAAUGUGCCCUUCGGGGGAAAGAUUUAUCGCCUUUAGAGCGGCCCGCGUCUGAUUAGCUAGUUGGUGAGGUAAAGGCUCACCAAGGCGACGAUCAGUAGCUGGUCUGAGAGGAUGAUCAGCCACAUUGGGACUGAGACACGGCCCAAAAUCCUACGGGAGGCAGCAGUGGGGAAUCUUGCGCAAUGGGCGAAAGCCUGACGCAGCCAUGCCGCGUGAAUGAUGAAGGUCUUAGGAUUGUAAAAUUCUUUCACCGGGGACGAUAAUGACGGUACCCGGAGAAGAAGCCCCGGCUAACUUCGUG